rnacentral:rRNA from 1 species
CUCGGCGUAAAGAGUGGUUAGGAAAAAAUUAACUAAAGCCGAAUGCUCUCUAAGCUGUUAUACGCUCUCGAGAAUAAGAAGCCCUAUAACGAAAGUAGCUUUAUAAUAUUGAAUCCACGAAAGCUAAGGAACAAACUGGGAUUAGAUACCCCACUAUGCUUAGCCUUAAACUUAGAUAAUAUAUUACCUAAAUUAUCCGCCUGGGGACUACGAGCACUAGCUUAAAACCCAAAGGACUUGGCGGUGCUUAAUACCCCCCUAGAGGAGCCUGUUCUAGAACCGAUAACCCUCGUUAGACCUCUCCUUUUCUUGUCUAUUCCGCCUAUAUACCGCCGUCGUCGUCUUACCCUGUGAAAGACUUCUUAGUAAGCAUAAUUAGUU